rnacentral:rRNA from 1 species
ACGAACGCUGGCGGCGUGCCUAAUACAUGCAAGUCGAACGGUCUUUCUAUGGAAGCUUGCUUCCACUGAGAAGAUAGUGGCGAACGGGUGAGUAACACGUGGGUAACCUGCCCAUAAGAGGGGGAUAACAUCCGGAAACGGGUGCUAAUACCGCAUAGUUUUCUUGAUUGCAUGAUCGGGAAAGGAAAGACGGCUUUUUGUGCUGUCGCUUAUGGAUGGACCCGCGGCGUAUUAGUUAGUUGGUGAGGUAACGGCUCACCAAGACGAUGAUACGUAGCCGACCUGAGAGGGUGAUCGGCCACAUUGGGACUGAGACACGGCCCAAACUCCUACGGGAGGCAGCAGUAGGGAAUCUUCCGCAAUGGACGAAAGUCUGACGGAGCAACGCCGCGUGAGUGAAGAAGGUUUUCGGAAUCGUAAAACUCUGUUGUCAGAGAAGAACAAGUUGGAGAGUAACUGCUCCAGCCUUGACGGUAUCUGACCAGAAAGCCACGGCUAACUACGUGCCAGCAGCUGC